UGGUGAUUAUUUAAUUAGUUCUGUUGCUGGUCUAGCUAAUUUUAUUGGUAUCUAAGAAAAGUAACGGAGGGAUCCUCACCAAUCUUAAUACUUUUCUGAUCAAUUAGAUUAGUUCGAAUCUUGAAUGAAGGUAGCUCAGUAUUUUGAACACUACAUAUACCUUCCUUCAUGCCUAGUCAAUAUCUUGUCAAAAAUCAUAGUAUGCUUGUUGUGA
rnacentral:lncRNA from 1 species